rnacentral:rRNA from 1 species
ACUUUCAACAACGGAUCUCUUGGUUCUCGCAUCGAUGAAGAACGCAGCGAAUUGCGAUACGUAGUAUGACUUGCAGACGUGAAUCAUCGAAUCUUUGAAUGCACAUUGCGCCCUUUGGUAUUCCAAAGGGCAUGCCUGUUUGAGCGUCAUUU